UGUUGCGGUUAAAGCUCGUAGUUGGAUCUGUGUCCUUCGACGCCGGUUCACCGCCUGUCGGUGCCAACUGGCGUUUUGCGGGACGUCCUGUCGGUGGCGUGCCAGGAAUCUUAGUUGUGCUAAGCUCUGCUCAGCUCAGCUCUGGUUUCGGGCCGCUUUCAUAAUCCCGCCGCGGUGCUCUUCACCGAGUGUCGAGGCGGGCCGGCACGUUUACUUUGAACAAAUUAGAGUGCUUCAAGCAGGCUUGUCAUGCCUGUAUACUGUGUGCAUGGAAUAAUGGAAUAGGACCUCGGUUCUAUUUUGUUGGUUUCCGGAAUCUGAGGUAAUGAUCAAUGGGGACAGGCGGGGGCAUUCGUAUUGCGACGUUAGAGGUGAAAUUCUUGGAUCGUCGCAAGACGGACCGAAGCGAAAGCAUUUGCCAAGUAUGUUCCCGUCGAUCAAGAACGAAAGUUAGAGGUUCGAAGGCGAUCAGAUACCGCCCUAGUUCUAACCAUAAACAAUGCCUGCCAGCGAUCCGCCGGCGUCCCUCCGAUGACCCGGCGGGCAGCUUCCGGGAAACCAGAGCUUUUGGGUUCCGGGGGAAGUAUGGUUGCAAAGCUGAAACUUAAAGGAAUUGACGGAAGGGCACCACCAGGAGUGGAGCCUGCGGCUUAAUUUGACUCAACACGGGAAAACUCACCAGGCCCGGACACCGGAAGGAUUGACAGAUUGAUAGCUCUUUCUUGAUUCGGUGGGUGGUGGUGCAUGGCCGUUCUUAGUUGGUGGAGCGAUUUGUCUGGUUAAUUCCGAUAACGAACGAGACUCUAGCCUACUAACUAGACGUAUCUGGUAUCAGCAAUCGUGCUACCAGCGAUCAUAUCUCUUCUUAGAGGGACAGGCGGCUUCUAGCCGCACGAGACUGAGCAAUAACAGGUCUGUGAUGCCCUUAGAUGUCCUGGGCCGCACGCGCGCUACACUGAAGGAAUCAGCGUGUCUUCCCUGUCCGAAAGGACCGGGUAACCCGCUGAACCUCCUUCGUGCUUGGGAUUGGGGCUUGCAAUUGUUCCCCAUGAACGAGGAAUUCCCAGUAAGCGCGAGUCAUAAGCUCGCGUUGAUUACGUCCCUGCCCUUUGUACACACCGCCCGUCGCUACUACCGAUUGAAUGAUUUAGUGAGGUCUUCGGACCGGUGCGCGGAGGCGGUUUACCGCUCCCGAUGUUGUCGGAAAGAUGACCAAACUUGAUCAUUUAGAGGAAGUAAAAGUCGUAACAAGGUUUCCGUAGUG
rnacentral:rRNA from 1 species